rnacentral:RNase_P_RNA from 5 species
UGGGACGGCCGGAGGGCCGCCUUUCCGCUUCGGCGGGGGGGAGGAACUUCCGAACUCCCGGGACAGGGUGCCCGUCGAAAGGCGGGAGGUUCGGGGCGAAAGCCCCGGGUCAUGGAAAGUGCCGCAGAAAAAAUACCGCCGCGGGCUUGCCCCGCGGUAAGGGUGAAAAGGCGUCGGUAAGAGCGCACCGCUUCGAGGGCGACCUCGGAGGCUAGGCAAACCCCACCUGGAGCAAGGCAUAGGGCGUUACGCGGAGUCCCCGCGCCCUUCGGGGCGGACGCCCGGUAGCUGCAUUAGAGAAAUGGUCCUCGCCCGGCUUCGGCCGGGGCACAGAAUUCGGGGUACAGGCCGUCCCUUUAU